CAUGAUGUAGCUUAAACAUACAAAGCAUCUGGCUUACACCCAGAAGAUUUCACAAUCAUGGACAUCAUGA
rnacentral:tRNA from 2 species